UUCACCUCAAAUCAGGUAUACUACUCGUCUCAACUUAAGCAUAUCAAUAGGCGAGA
rnacentral:rRNA from 1 species